GACGAACGCUGGCGGCGUGCUUAACACAUGCAAGUCGAGCGGUAAGGCCCUUUUGGGGGUACACGAGCGGCGAACGGGUGAGUAACACGUGGGUGACCUGCCCUCAGCUCUGGGAUAAGCCUGGGAAACUGGGUCUAAUACUGGAUAUGACCUUUCCUCGCAUGGGGUUGGGUGGAAAGUUUUCGGCUGGGGAGUGGGCCCGCGGCCUAUCAGCUUGUUGGUGGGGUGAUGGCCUACCAAGGCGACGACGGGUAGCCGGCCUGAGAGGGCGACCGGCCACACUGGGACUGAGACACGGCCCAGACUCCUACGGGAGGCAGCAGUGGGGAAUAUUGCGCAAUGGGCGGAAGCCUGACGCAGCGACGCCGCGU
rnacentral:rRNA from 1 species